rnacentral:rRNA from 1 species
GUUAAGCGACUAAGCGUACACGGUGGAUGCCCUGGCAGUCAGAGGCGAUGAAGGACGUGCUAAUCUGCGAUAAGCGUCGGUAAGGUGAUAUGAACCGUUAUAACCGGCGAUUUCCGAAUGGGGAAACCCAGUGUGUUUCGACACACUAUCAUUAACUGAAUCCAUAGGUUAAUGAGGCGAACCGGGGGAACUGAAACAUCUAAGUACCCCGAGGAAAAGAAAUCAACCGAGAUUCCCCCAGUAGCGGCGAGCGAACGGGGAGCAGCCCAGAGCCUGAAUCAGUGUGUGUGUUAGUGGAAGCGUCUGGAAAGGCGCGCGAUACAGGGUGACAGCCCCGU